GGGCCCGCACAAGCGGUGGAGUAUGUGGUUUAAUUCGAUGCAACGCGAAGAACCUUACCAGGGUUUGACAUCCUGCGAAUCUCUUGGAAACGAGAGAGUGCCUUCGGGAACGCAGUGACAGGUGGUGCAUGGCUGUCGUCAGCUCGUGUCGUGAGAUGUUGGGUUAAGUCCCGCAACGAGCGCAACCCACGUCGUUAGUUGCCAGCAUUUAGUUGGGCACUCUAGCGAGACCGCCGGUGAUAAACCGGAGGAAGGUGUGGAUGACGUCAAGUCCUCAUGGCCCUUACGGGUUGGGCUACACACGUGCUACAAUGGUAGUGACAUGGGUUAAUCCCAAAAAGCUAUCUCAGU
rnacentral:rRNA from 1 species